rnacentral:rRNA from 1 species
UGGCGGACGGGUGAGUAAUGUCUGGGAAACUGCCCGAUGGAGGGGGAUAACUACUGGAAACGGUAGCUAAUACCGCAUAACGUCGCAAGACCAAAGAGGGGGACCUUCGGGCCUCUUGCCAUCGGAUGUGCCCAGAUGGGAUUAGCUUGUAGGUAAGGUAACGGCUUACCUAGGCGACGAUCCCUAGCUGGUCUGAGAGGAUGAUCAGCCACACUGGGACUGAGACACGGCCCAG